UUUUAAGUCAAAACAUAAUCAAAUUAACAUUAAGAAAUUUUCACAAAAAGGCCCCACUCCCCCCUGUAUAAUGCUUGUCUUAAAUCCAAGGCUGGAACACUGCCAAAACGUUAACAUUUGAUAAUGUUUUCCAGAAUAUCCCUGUACAAGAUGAAACAGAGGGAAGGAAGCUAAAUGAGAUAGUCGAGCAAACAGUGGAAAUACUCCAUCAAACUCACAAUACCGUGGUACAUGAUGAAAAUCAAUAAAGGCAGAAUUAUUGUUGAAUCUCAUGAACAAAACUACCUUUUAUACUUUAUUCAAUAAAUUAGAUAAUAUAUUUUUAUAAAAGAUUUAUAGACAAGCGUACAUGUGGUGCAAAUUAAUGUAACAAUUUAUAUGAGAAAUAAAUAUUUUAUGAUAUA